UACGGGGGGGGUAAGCGUUGUUCGGAAUUACUGGGCGUAAAGGGCUCGUAGGCGGCCAACUAAGUCAUACGUGAAAUCCCUCAGCUUAACUGGGGAACUGCGUGUGAUACUGGAUGGCUUGGAUUUGGGAGAGGGAUGCGGAAUUCCAGGUGUAGAGGUGAAAUUCGUAGAUAUUCGCAAGAACACCAGUGGCGAAGGCGGCUCACUGGCCCGAUACUGACGCUGAGGCACGAAAGCGUGGGGAGCAAACAGG
rnacentral:rRNA from 1 species